UUUGGAAAAUUGUGGCUUUAUUGAAGUCCAGCACAUCAGCAUCUGUAGGCCUGUGACAUUGCAAAACAGCAUGGAAGAAACAUCUCUAUACGGUGCUACAUUCUACGUACAAUCCUUAAUAGACAUGUACAGAUUAUUAACUUUACAUCAUUUGUUGUGUUUUCAUUUUGUUUUUUGUUCAUGCAAAAUCUCUGUGGAGAGCUAACACACUCAGAUACUACCCCCCACACAUUCAACCCCCUGAUUCAAUUAACCAUUUAAGUGCCUGAGAUGCAGUUCAGCUCCCCGCUGCACAGGCCCCUAGGGCUAUAGAAGGUUUUUAAAGGGUAAAAAGCAGUAUGCAGUAAAGAAGAGAAAUCACAUUACCACAUUAUCAGGUCUAGCAUCCCAGGUUUAUUUUAUGGAGUGAGAUCAGCAAGCCGAUUAACAUUACGUAAUAACCUAAAAUAGCUUCGGAGAAAUGUUAAGAAAGACAUUAAAUGGUUAAAACAAAAUCAUGUUAAACAAUACAUUGAAAUGCACCCAGUCUAGUGCCUAAAAUAAAGAGAGAAAUGAGUAUUCGCUAUAGAUGUGUGUAAAUAUAUAAGUAAAUGUGCAUAUGUGUAUACAAGAAUAUAAAUAUGUAUAUGUAAACUCAGAUACAUCUAUAGAACACAAUACAGCAAUAAUUACGUUACAUAAUAUCAAACCAUUCAAAUAACCAUAACUCCUAAUAUAAACAUGUUUCCCUUAAAUAAAGCAUGUGCAUGUGCUAACAUGUCUCUACUGGUUUAAAUGCCUAUAAAACGUCUUCUCAGAAUGGAUUCUUAAUAGAAUGUCUGCAACAUUUCAAAUAAAAACGAUUGAUUCUAACAGAUGCAGGAAGCCAGUGCACAAACACAUGCAUACACACAUUCACACACAUACACACACUGUCAGAAAUAGCUAGAAUGCCAGACUGCUCCAUUCAUUAAACUGCAGAGUCAUCCGCAGAAUUCUUUUUAAAGAAAAUGAAUCAGAUCUCAAUAAUUGUCUAUUUUGUCUUCCAUGUUUGCAAUAAAAGCAUUUUAUACGCUGAAAGGUGACAGGUUUAUCUUGUCCUGAGCGUUUGUCUUUGUAGAUUUGCUGCAUCGUGUUUUGUUUGUGACAUCCAUCGCGUUGCCAGUGGGUAGCACAGUCUUCUGCAUGUCGGUCCAGGCACCCAAACAUCCCUGCUUGCUGUAGUCAGCCACUCUCUUGGCAUUCACCGCGUGCCUUAAUUGUAUGGACAUUUAAAUCAAGGUCCGCUGUGAACACGGAGAGAAGGGGCCUCAAUCGGAAGACAACAAACACACACGGAGCAAACAUUGGGGUAAAAAUACAAAAACAACAGGGAGAAAAAAAAUUCUCUCUCUCUCCGAAUCAUCCCAAACCAUCCUCAUCCCUUAACCUUCUGAUGUGCAAUGACAUUAGACCAGCCCAAGCUCUCCCAGUGGUUCCCUUUGUUCUGUAUUCAGAGCGCUUUGCUGAAAGACCCCUCUUAUCUUUUUUUUUUCUCUCCUAUUUUCUCUCUUUUUUUUUCUUGCCUCCUCCCCAGCUGCGGCAGAAGCCGGCAGCUUUCUUCCAGUAGAUACGAAGAGGCAGUUUACGCUGUAACAAUG